UAUUUGCUGCUGCUUACAAACCUCAACACUUGGCACGAGAUCUCGCGGGAUCGGGAUUGCAUUUCCUAAUUGUUGCUUAUCAGCAUUUAGCCAUUGUCAGUGUUAUCCAGUUACAAACGCGUCGCAUCGCUUCGACUCUGUGCCAAUGUGAGUUGAGUCUUAUAGGUCUACCAGAAUCUUAUGGCAAAAAUUUUUUUUUAAAAUUAGCGAUUUUCAUAUGGCAAUAAAAGAAAAAUUUCAUCUGUCAACUGAAAUUUCGAGGAUUUGUUUUUGGUUUGGCUUCAAAUUUCCUUUAAAAAGUGAUGAAAAUGUCGAAGAAACCUCUUCGAUCGCUAGCAAGACAUAUUGUUUUCAAUGUUUAUCAAAGAAUACUUGAUCAACAAGAUGCAGAACAUACACAAUCAUCGAUAUUGAGCCAUGUGCAAGCGUUGACUGGGGUUUCUUAUACUACAAAUAAACUUGGAUAGUUUUGAUUUAGAAUUGAUCA